GGAAGAAAAAGAUGAAGCGAGAGAGAUGAAGACUGAAGCUUGCUGAAUAAACUGCUGUCAGAAGAACUGGUGGUCGUGUCGUUCUUGCUGAUUGAGAGCGGAUGCGACAAGGGCCUUCCCACCUCAGGUGCACUGUGAACAAUCAAGAGCUUCUGAAAGAGAAAAUCUUUCUGGAGAGAAGGCCUUGAGCCCAUGAGCUGUCAAAGACAGUGACACCUGUGAAGAGAUCUUUUCUGUACCCACUGACAACAUGGAAAGAUGUGGAAACCAAGGAGCUAGCUUCCCGGAUGUGCUAUUUCUACCUAUCUACACUGGGACAUCAUUGUUAAAAGAUCCUCCACCGCUGACUACCCACACAGCUCCAUGUUCCUUCUCUUCUGGCCAAAAAAUGAAGACAGAAACAAAAAUAAAAAAUCAAAAUAAGCAAACAAAAAUAAAUAAGACCAAAAAAUUGCUCAUACUCUAAAUAUCUACAGUAGCAAAAAUAGAAUUUGUUUUCAUAUAAAUAUUAAUUAUCAUGUAUUUUACUCCUUCCCAUAACUGGAGUAACAUGAAAUUAAGACUCUCCUGUAUCUUAUAUUCUUCAUACUUUAGAACACAUACUAAAAAAUAAUGGUAUGUGAUUUUCCAUUAUGUCAUUUUGGC
rnacentral:lncRNA from 1 species